rnacentral:rRNA from 1 species
CCUACGGGUGGCAGCAGUGAGGAAUAUUGGUCAAUGGACGAGAGACUGAACCAGCCAAGUAGCGUGAAGGAGGACUGUACAGUGUAUUGUAAACUUCUUUUAUCUGGGAAUAAAAUGUUCCACGUGUGGGCUUUUGUAUGUACCAUAUGAAUAAGCAUCGGCUAACUCCGUGCCAGCAGCCGCGGUAAUACGGAGGAUCCGAGCGUUAUCCGGAUUUAUUGGGUUUAAAGGGAGCGUAGGUGGAUUGUUAAGUCAGUUGUGAAAGUGUGCGGCUCAACCGUAAAAUUGCAAUUGAUACUGGCAGCCUUGAGUACAGUAGAGGUAGGCGGAAUGCGCGGUGUAGCGGUGAAAUGCUUAGAUAUCACGAAGAACUCCGAUUGCGAAGGCAGCUUACGAACCUGCCACUGACAUUGAUGCUCGAAAGUGUGGGUAUCAAACAGGAUUAGAUACCCGGGUAGUC